GGAGCUGUCUUCAAUGUCCAGUGUCCUUUUAGAUGGCUGUUCCUUGACCCCCACUUUUGAGUUGACCCAAAAUCACCAGAACCUUGGUCUCUCUGCUCCUCCCAAUC
rnacentral:lncRNA from 1 species